AAUCUUCGUUAAAUGAAUGAAUGAACUUUACAAGAAUAACAGAAACUCACAUUCAUACUUAUAACAUCUGUAAAUGGUGAGGUUUAGGACUAGUGAGGGAGAGAGGCUGUGAGCUCUGGCAGUGAUGGUGGGACCCAGGGCACCUCAGAGCCACGAAGACAUCCAUGCAGACUCCCGGGGGAAGGGAAGUGAGCACAGGGCAUCGGCUUCAUCUGUCCACUCACUCUGACUGUCAGCUUAGCUCCCCACUCCAGGGAGCCCACUUCCCAACACGAGGGACUAAUUUCUCCUGCCGGGAUGGGGAACGGCGUUACUUUAUAACACACCCCAGGGCUGAGGGAGGAGAGACCCAUCCUUCCUCCUGCUCCGGACUCAGGUGCCAACGUCCCCAGGCUGCCUCUUCUUCUCAUGAUCGAUUGGGAUGAGACACAGUGACCGUGGGCGCAGGGGCCCAGGAGAAGCACUUCUGCUUGCAGUCCGUUCCCUUCUGACCGUCCGAAGCCAGAGGCCAGCGAGCUCCUCAGCCUCGUGGCUGCCGCGGGGACAAGAAGUGUCCACAGGAGGCAGUUUUCAGGGACAAACAGAAGAGGAAAGGAGGGGGGGAUGGGAGGUUGUUUUUCUCAGGGGAACCAUUUUCAAAUGAGACCUCUGAGAGGAGAACCGAGAGCCAAAUGAACAAGAGACAACUUAAUUUACUUUUAAGAGGGAGAAACAUGAAAACCUGGUUUUAAAAUUAAGGGGAAACAACAACAUCUGAAAGGAGGACUCAGAGGAGGGCCAAGAGGGACGAUGUCGUCUGCAAAGCUCAGGGGGAGAAUUCUGACCUUGAGCCGUAUUACUGUCUCCUGGAGAAAUAACCUUGUAGUUUAAAAAUGGUGGGAAUAUUACUGGAAUUGGUCACUUAAAGGCAUUUACUUUCACUUAAAAUUGGGUGUAAUUUAUACAUUCAAACACACGAGUAUUUAUUGGAAACUUAUUAGGGGAAACGAAAUACUCAGUCUUCCAUCUCUUGGAGCUCGUGAGAGCCGACGAUCGGAACUGAAAUAGUCAACAAAUAGACGCAGGGUGCGUCUGGCAGCAUUAGGUCCUGAGAAGGAACAGCAGCGUAAGGGGAGCAGAGAGCACUGGGUACUGAGUGGGACGGUCCAGGAAGGCGCCGGGCGUCCCCUGGUGCCCACCUCUCCCCACCCUUCCCAGGUCACUCCCUCUUCUUUGCUCCGCUCUGUGCUCCUGGUUUCUCCGGGAUGUCCCCAGUCAUUCUUGGCUCCUGCCACUCACGCCCUCGUGUGUCUCCCCUCACGCUGACUCCACUGACCAUACGACUGACAGAGUGCGCCGAGGCGACAGUGGUGAUUUUUGAGGCCAGGUCGUGAGAGGCACAGUGACUUCUACCGUGGCCUCGUGGGGCACUCGCUCUGGGGAAGCCGGGUGCCGUGCUGUGAGGACUCAAGCAGCCCUGUGGAGAUGCCCACGGGGGCAGGGCCUCAGAUUUCCUGCCCACGACCAGCCACUUGAGUGAGCCCCAUGGAAAUGACCCUCCACCCACAUGAGCCUGCGAAUGACUGAGGUCUUGACAGUAAUCCCACGUGAAACUUGGGGCCAGAGACAUCAAGACCGACUGCCCCCAAAUUCCUGACCCACAGAGACUGUGAGAGGCGACAGCUGUGUACUGUUCAAGCCGCAGCGUCGGCGGCACUGGGUUAUGGAACAAUAGGGAGCGUGACUAAUACCCGUGCCCCUUACCUGGCACCCUGGACUCCUGUUCCAGCCGCGUCUGGCCCACGCUGGGGAAGCGAGGUCAUCGUGUUUAUUCCUCGGCCUUCAGCUCUGGUCCUGCUCCUCCCGCGUUGCCACAGCCCCCUCUGGGCUGCCCGCGGCCUCCAGGGCUGCAGCUCUGUGUGCCCCCCCCCCCCCCCCCGGUAUUGUUUCUUCCCUUUGCCCUUCAAGCCCAGGCUCCGCACCAGAUCCUGCUGUUGGUUUCCUUAACCCUGACUCAUCUCUGGAACUAGUCCCUUCAUUCUCCUAAAAAUCGUGUGUCUUCUCUUUCCUACCAAGACCCAGGCUGGCACAAAGUUGUCCUGUGGAGAGGACACUUGGAGACGUGAAGGAAGUGAGGGCAGGGGGCUCCCAUGUGUGGGAAGAGUCCUCCAGCAAGUGCAAGACCCCGGGGAGGGAGUGCUUGGCGAGUUGAAAGAGCAGGAGGGGGCCAGCGCCACGGAGCGAAGGCACAGACAGAGUGUCAGGGUGUCAGAGGGAGGCAGGCAGCGCCACACCAGGUGGAGCCCGUGGGUCACACUGUACCUGAGAGCUGUGCAUGCCACGGCGGGCGGGGUGGUCUGAGCCACGCACGGCAUGCUCUCCCGCAUCCUGGGACGGGAUGGAGGGGGUAAGAACGGACUGGGGGACCAGUCAGGAGGCUCCUUGAGAAUCUGGAGAUCAGCGAUGGCUUGGGUAUGGUGGGCGACAAAGGUGGAGGGAGAGAUUGAAUUCAGGAUGCAUUUUGAAACCAGACCUGUAAGGAUUUGCUGCUAAACUGAAUGAGAGAGAAGUAAGAGUGAGGAGGCCUCUAAAGUGAAUGAUGGAUGCUGGAGCCGGCGCCUGAGCCCAGCACAGUGUGUGUGGGGGGGGGGGGCAGUCUGGAGGGAAGGAGGGCGGAAAUCGAGACUUUGCUCAUUUCAUCUUCAAAAGAGGAAAAGAGUAACGUUCUGCUGUUUCAAAAAGAGGAAAACGAGAGGUUUUUUUCUCACUUUACAAAGGAUGCACAUUCACGGAGUGGCGUUCCUAUCUCCUGGCUGUUGGGCUUUGCCGUUGGAAGACUUGAAAUCAGUUGAAAUAUGACUCCCCUCAGCCCAGAAGCAGAUGUGGCCGGAAACAAGACUCAACAGACGCUUCCGUUCCUCUGGGCAGCCCCCCUGCCCCACUUCUUACCAUAGAAGCAGAGCUGUGCGCCCCGCCCCCCGACACCCACUCUCCUUGCACAACGUGGGCACCUGCUUCCCUUUGCAGACCUGCAGCUCCAGAGGCAGCUGAGCAACGUGGCGGAACUUGAGCUCACAGACCUGGGGGAGACCAGGGGCCCUGUGCUGGGGAGGGGCUGCGCCCGGCUGUGGUGUCAGCCAGGUUGUGCAUACCUCGUCCUGCAGCCCGCUUCGGGGGCCAGGACACGGUGUCUUGAUGCCAACAGGCAUUCGUUGUCGCUGUUGUUGUUCUGUUCAGAAGGACCUCUGUCUGCAGCUUCUGUCGGCCUCCGGGAAGGGACACGGCUGCUGCGGGAGGAGGAUGCUCCCUCCCCCUCAGUUGCCAUGGCGACUCUGAGGCCUGAUUUCCUGGUUGCCAUGUAAAUGCAGUGGGAUCCCAGCCACUCGCCACACAAAGACCUCGGAGAGAGCAGCGAGGAAUCAAAAGUCCUGUUUACAAAGACGGAAUUUCAUCUCAAGCCUUUUACUCACAUAAAAGAGAGGAAAGGAGCCACUGUCGUCAGACACGGUGCUCCUUCCGGGGGGCGGACGGAGUGCAUCUCCCCCUCGCUGGAGGGAAGACUGGGAAGAAAAGGGGAAACCCCUCGUUUGUGGGCGAGGAGCUGGCCUGGGGACGGGAAGACAGAAGACUUCUCAGGAGGCCCACUGAGAAAAACUCUGAAAUAUUUAACUGGGGCGGAACAAUUGAGUUGGAUUGAAAACCAAACCAAAAACAUGGAUCUCGUGGACAAUUUUUAGAAUUACUUUUAUUUGUGUAGUUUUAUAAUUUUAGAAUUGAGAUUCCAAAGGCUCUAAUAUUUGCUUGAUGAUCAAUUUUUAUUUCUAUCCAAUAACUCUGAAGAAAUGACAAAAUGCAGUUAUUUCUCUAUUUUUUUAUUGAUUGGUAACACCCUGAUAAAACCGCAUGCCAAAAAUUGACUAAUCCAGAUUUCUAUGGUUUUCAUAGCGUGGGUGUUUUCUGUGUUUAAUAAUAUCUAUAAAAUCACUGGCAUAUAAAAAAUGUAAAAUCUGUAUAUUUUGCAUUGCUGUCUACAUAUAUGCAAACAAAACGUCGAUAACUUA